AACGAACGCUGGCGGCAGGCUUAACAUAUGCAAGUCGAGCGCCCCGCAAGGGGAGCGGCAGACGGGUGAGUAACGCGUGGGAAUCUACCCAUCUCUACGGAAUAACGCAUGGAAACGUGUGCUAAUACCGUAUACGUCCUUCGGGAGAAAGGUUUAUCGGAGAUGGAUGAGCCCGCGUUGGAUUAGAUAGUUGGUGGGGUAAAGGCCUACCAAGGCGACGAGCCAUAGCUGGUCUGAGAGGAUGAUCAGCCACACUGGGACUGAGACACGGCCCAGACUCCUACGGGAGGCAGCAGUGGGGAAUAUUGGACAAUGGGCGCAAGCCUGAUCCAGCCAUGCCGCGUGAGUGAUGAAGGCCCUAGGGUUGUAAAGCUCUUUCACCGGUGAAGAUAAUGACGGUAACCGGGGAAGAAGCCCCGGCUAACUUCGUGCCAGCCGCCGCCGUAACAC
rnacentral:rRNA from 1 species